UACGUAGGGGGCGAGCGUUGUCCGGAUUUAUUGGGCGUAAAGAGCUCGUAGGCGGCUUGGCAAGUCGGGUGUGAAACCUCCAGGCUCAACCUGGAGACGCCACUCGAUACUGCCAUGGCUAGAGUCCGGUAGGGGACCACGGAAUUCCUGGUGUAGCGGUGAAAUGCGUAGAUAUCGUAAGGAAGACCAGUGGCGAAGGCGGGUCUCUGGACAGUUCCUGACGCUGAGGCACGAAGGUCAGGGGAGCAAACGGG
rnacentral:rRNA from 1 species